rnacentral:lncRNA from 13 species
GUCCAAGGGAGGACCAGAGAAGUCACGCCCGGCUGUUCAGGGUGUGGGGUUUUAUGGGGAGGGCAGGAAAUUGAUUGGCUACUGGGGAAAUCAAGAGAAGGCAUUUCUAUUGGCUGUUGAGAAGCAGGAAGUACAUGGAGUUAAAGUAGGAAGUACAUGAAACUAGCUGUCAUUGGUAGGUGGGCGGGACCUUGGGUAAGUGGGCCUUGAUUGACUACUGGAGAAACAAAGAGAAGGCAUUUUUAUUGGCCGUCGAGGAGCAGGAAGUACAUGGAGUUAAAGUAGGAAGUACAUGAAACUAGUUGCCAUUGGUAGGUGGGCAGGACCUUGGGUACGCCAGCCUGCCACGGGCAUAUGGGGUAGGCUGUUGCUGGGCAGGGGUAAUGCUGGCCUUGUAAAAUAAGUUUGGAAGUAUUCCCUCCUCCUCCAUUUUUUGGAACAGUAACUUGUUAGGACUGGCUCAUGCUCUGGAGGCGCUAUGUUGCCAGAUGAUGGUCUCCUUAACUGCAGAGAAAUAAAUGCUCCAUGCCUCGAAGAUCUUACAGUCCGGUUUAUAAACCUGGCAUACAAGAGAUAUAAAAGAUUAAUUGCAAGGUUGGAGAUUAUAAAGUUCGCCUUUCGAGUGCAUUUAAGAUGGUUAGAACAGCUCUUGCAUCUUCAAGAGUCACAAGAGAGGAAGGAUUCCAUCCAAGACACCAUAUUACAUAUUAUCGUGCCUUCUUAG